rnacentral:other from 1 species
AAUUCCCUGCAGUGUUUGUUUGCGAAGUGAAAAAGUUGAACCAAUACAACUUAUAAGGGUGCUGAUAUAUGGUUUGCCCGAGGGCAAAUCAAUAAGGUGCCCACCUGAAAUAAGGGUUCAGGGCAAUCACUUCCGCGACGGCAUGGGCGGGGGAUUU